GGGGUGACACCGCGGGGACACCGUCCCCAGGGGUGGCAGGGGGAGGUGACACUGUCCCUGUCUCCAUCCCUGUCCCAGGGGUGACACCGGGAGGUGACACAGGAGGUGACACAGCAGGUGACACAGCAGGUGACACUGUCCUGUCCCUGUCCCAGGGGGUGACACAGGAGGUGACACAGGAGGUGACACAGCAGGUGACACUGUCCUGUCCCCGUCCCAGGGGGUGACACAGCAGGUGACACAGGAGGUGACACAGGAGGUGACACAGGAGGUGACACAGCAGGUGACACAGCAGGUGACACAGCAGGUGACACAGCAGGUGACACUGUCCUGUCCCUUCCAGGGCUCUGGUCCAGCAGCGUUUGGCCGCCUGUGUCAACAUCAUACCCGGGGUGACCUCGGUGUGAGUGGGGACAUGGGGACACUG
rnacentral:lncRNA from 1 species